rnacentral:rRNA from 1 species
AUUGAACGCUGGCGGCUGGCUUAACACAUGCAAGUCGAACGAUGAUUAUCUAGCUUGCUAGAUAUGAUUAGUGGCGGACGGGUGAGUAACAUUUAGGAAUCUGCCUAGUAGUGGGGGAUAGCUCGGGGAAACUCGAAUUAAUACCGCAUACGACCUACGGGUGAAAGGGGGCGCAAGCUCUUGCUAUUAGAUGAGCCUAAAUCAGAUUAGCUAGUUGGUGGGGUAAAGGCCCACCAAGGCGACGAUCUGUAACUGGUCUGAGAGGAUGAUCAGUCACACCGGAACUGAGACACGGUCCGGACUCCUACGGGAGGCAGCAGUGGGGAAUAUUGGACAAUGGGGGCAACCCUGAUCCAGCCAUGCCGCGUGUGUGAAGAAGGCCUUUUGGUUGUAAAGCACUUUAAGCAGGGAGGAGAGGCUAAUGGUUAAUACCCAUUAGAUUAGACGUUACCUGCAGAAUAAGCACCGGCUAACUCUGUGCCAGCAGCCGCGGUAAUACAGAGGGUGCGAGCGUUAAUCGGAAUUACUGGGCGUAAAGCGAGUGUAGGUGGCUCAUUAAGUCACAUGUGAAAUCCCCGGGCUUAACCUGGGAACUGCAUGUGAUACUGGUGGUGCUAGAAUAUGUGAGAGGGAAGUAGAAUUCCAGGUGUAGCGGUGAAAUGCGUAGAGAUCUGGAGGAAUACCGAUGGCGAAGGCAGCUUCCUGGCAUAAUAUUGACACUGAGAUUCGAAAGCGUGGGUAGCAAACAGGAUUAGAUACCCUGGUAGUCCACGCCGUAAACGAUGUCUACUAGCCGUUGGGGUCCUUGAGACUUUAGUGGCGCAGUUAACGCGAUAAGUAGACCGCCUGGGGAGUACGGCCGCAAGGUUAAAACUCAAAUGAAUUGACGGGGGCCCGCACAAGCGGUGGAGCAUGUGGUUUAAUUCGAUGCAACGCGAAGAACCUUACCUGGUCUUGACAUAGUGAGAAUCCUGCAGAGAUGCGGGAGUGCCUUCGGGAAUUCACAUACAGGUGCUGCAUGGCUGUCGUCAGCUCGUGUCGUGAGAUGUUGGGUUAAGUCCCGCAACGAGCGCAACCCUUUUCCUUAUUUGCCAGCGGGUUAAGCCGGGAACUUUAAGGAUACUGCCAGUGACAAACUGGAGGAAGGCGGGGACGACGUCAAGUCAUCAUGGCCCUUACGACCAGGGCUACACACGUGCUACAAUGGUAGGUACAGAGGGUUGCUACACAGCGAUGUGAUGCUAAUCUCAAAAAGCCUAUCGUAGUCCGGAUUGGAGUCUGCAACUCGACUCCAUGAAGUCGGAAUCGCUAGUAAUCGCAGAUCAGAAUGCUGCGGUGAAUACGUUCCCGGGCCU